GUGGGGAAUAUUGGACAAUGGGGGGAACCCUGAUCCAGCCAUGCCGCGUGUGUGAAGAAGGCCUUUUGGUUGUAAAGCACUUUAAGCGAGGAGGAGGCUACCGAGAUUAAUACUCUUGGAUAGUGGACGUUACUCGCAGAAUAAGCACCGGCUAACUCUGUGCCAGCAGCCGCGGUAAUACAGAGGGUGCAAGCGUUAAUCGGAUUUACUGGGCGUAAAGCGCGCGUAGGUGGCCAAUUAAGUCAAAUGUGAAAUCCCCGAGCUUAACUUGGGAAUGGCAUUCGAGACUGGUUGGCUAGAGUAUGGGAGAGGAUGGUAGAAUUCCAGGUGUAGCGGUGAAAUGCGUAGAGAUCUGGAGGAAUACCGAUGGCGAAGGCAGCCAUCUGGCCUAAUACUGACACUGAGGUGCGAAAGCAUGGGGAGCAAACAGGAUUAGAAACCCGAGUAGUCC
rnacentral:rRNA from 1 species